GUCUCUGCCCAGCAGCCUGCCUUUUCCAAGCAGCUGUAGGCUUGUUUUCAAGCCAAGAGAGAAUGUCUGCUCUCACGGAGGCCUAUUGGUUUCAUUUGCCUAAAUAGAAGUGGAUGAUGGCUGAAAUGUGGCUGAUUUUAGCAAUCAGAGGGUGUACAGAAUAUCUCUGGAAGGAUGUAUAUGAAACUAGAGACACUGGGUUGCCUCCAAGGAGAAGAUCUGAGCAGCAAAGUGUAAAAGAAAUAGAAUUAUGCUCUUUUGUACCAAUCCAUCUAUUUUUUAAAAAGAACAGGAACCAUGGCAAGGCCAGGCUUACCAACUCUGGAAUAAGGCUGGGGAAUGGAAGGCUGUUCAGCCUACAGCAAACUCCAGGUGGGACUAUCUUAUUGCGCUGUCACCAGAAAGCAUGUGUGACUUCCCUGGUGGUUCAGUGGUUAGGACUUCUCGCUUCCACUGCAGGGGGCAUGGGUUUGAUCCCUGAUCGGGGAACUAAGAUCCCAGAAGCCCCACGGCAAGGCCAAAAAACAAACAAACAAAAACAAAACAAAACAAAAAGCCUCAGAAAGCAUGUUAUUCUUUACCUGAGGGCUUUAAUAUCAUUAUAA
rnacentral:lncRNA from 1 species